ACCGAACCGCGGAAGGGUGAAUUGGCAAAAUGGGGUAACUUGGGGGGCAGUAAGGGGGGGAGUGGGAUUUCCAACGCGUUGGGGGUUAAANGUGUAACAGGAUUGGGAGGAAACACCAAUUGGAAAAGGCGGUCUCCCNCGGGUCGGUUACCGACCGUUGAGGAAGCGAAAACCGUGCGGAAGCGUUCAGGUUUAGAAAACCCUGGUUAGUCCACGCCGUAAAACGAUGAGUGCUCAGUGUCUGGGGGGUUUUCCGCCCCCUUAGUGCUGCAGCUAACGCCUUAAGCACUCCGCCCGGGGAGUACGGUCGCAAGACUUUAAACUCAAAGGAAUUGACGGGGGCCCGCACAAGCGGUGGAGCAUGUGGUUUUAAUUCGAAGCAACGCGAAGAACCUUACCAGGUCUUGACAUCCUCUGACAAUCCUAGAGAUAGGACGUCCCCUUCGGGGGCAGAGUGACAGGUGGUGCAUGGUUGUCGUCAGCUCGUGUCGUGAGAUGUUGGGUUAAGUCCCGCAACGAGCGCAACCCUUGAUCUUAGUUGCCAGCAUUCAGUUGGGCACUCUAAGGUGACUGCCGGUGACAAACCGGAGGAAGGUGGGGAUGACGUCAAAUCAUCAUGCCCCUUAUGACCUGGGCUACACACGUGCUACAAUGGACAGAACAAAGGGCAGCGAAACCGCGAGGUUAAGNNAAUCCCACAAAUCUGUUCUCAGUUCGGAUCGCAGUCUGCAACUCGACUGCGUGAAGCUGGAAUCGCUAGUAAUCGCGGAUCAGCAUGCCGCGGUGAAUACGUUCCCGGGCCUUGUACACACCGCCCGUCACACCACGAGAGUUUCUCUAUAGUCUAAUUGCCAGAUGAUGCUAACAUAGNGUCGAAACAAGGCUACCGUUUAUGUGUUCCCUCGGG
rnacentral:rRNA from 1 species